rnacentral:rRNA from 1 species
CGGUAGUAUGUAAAUUUAAGAAAAACCUAUAUAUAAUGGCGGUUUUUCUAAAUUAGAGGAACAUGCUCAGUAACCGAUAACCCCCGAUCAUUUUCACUUAUUUCUAACGAAGCAGAAAUCCCAUCUCACGCCUAACAUCUUAAGCCUAUAUACCGCCGUAUAGAUUUGACCUUACUAACAAAUCAUAAAAACAACACUAAUAACUCAGGUCGAGGUGUAGCCCAUAAAUAAGAUAAAGUGUGUUACACUAAACGUCAUUUAAUACCUUCGUCAUCAAAUGACAAACCAAACAGAAUCAAAAAGUAAUAUAUGAAAUAAUAUUCGUACAUGAAAUACAAAGAAAAACGC